ACAGAGAGGCCAGACGGCGGGUGCGCUGUGAACCCCGUCAGGUCCGAAAGGAAGCAGCGGUAACGGUUUAUCCCGGGUGUCUGGUCUCGCUGGAAGAA
rnacentral:SRP_RNA from 1 species